AUUGAACGCUGGCGGCAGGCCUAACACAUGCAAGUCGAGCGAGCGGCGGACGGGUGAGUAAUGUAUGGGCACCUGCCUGAUCGAGGGGGAUAACUACUGGAAACGGUGGCUAAUACCGCAUACUAUCCGAUGAGCCCAUAUGGGAUUAGCUAGUAGGUGGGGUAAAGGCUCACCUAGGCGACGAUUCCUAGCUGGUCUGAGAGGAUGAUCAGCCACACUGGGACUGAGACACGGCCCAGACUCCUACGGGAGGCAGCAGUAGGGAAUAUUGCGCAAUGGGCGAAAGCCUGAUCCAGCCAUGCCGCGUGAGUGAAGAAGGUCUUAGGGUCGUAAAGUUCUGUCAGUAGGGAAGCGGUACCCACAGAGAAAGCACCGGCUAACUCCGUGCCAGCAGCCGCGGUAAUAC
rnacentral:rRNA from 1 species